CGUGCAGGCGGUUCGGUAAGUUGGGCGUGAAAUCUCCCGGCUCAACUGGGAGAGGUCGUCCAAUACUACCGGACUCGAGAGCAGUAGAGGAAGACGGAAUUCCCGGUGUAGUGGUGAAAUGCGUAGAUAUCGGGAGGAACACCAGUGGCGAAGGCGGUCUUCUGGACUGUUUCUGACGCUCAGACGCGAGAGCUAGGGUAGUAAACGGGAUUAGAGACCCCGGUAAUCCUAGCCGUAAACGAUGUGAACUUGGCGUCGGUGGCUUAAACACCAUCGGUGCCGCAGCUAACGCGAUAAGUUCACCGCCUGGGGACUACGAUCGCAAGAUUAAA
rnacentral:rRNA from 1 species